AUUGAACGCUGGCGGCAUGCCUUACACAUGCAAGUCGAACGGUAACAGGCCGCAAGGUGCUGACGAGUGGCGAACGGGUGAGUAAUACAUCGGAACGUGCCCGAUCGUGGGGGAUAACGCAGCGAAAGCUGUGCUAAUACCGCAUACGAUCUACGGAUGAAAGCGGGGGAUCGCAAGACCUCGCGCGGACGGAGCGGCCGAUGGCAGAUUAGGUAGUUGGUGGGGUAAAGGCCUACCAAGCCGACGAUCUGUAGCUGGUCUGAGAGGACGACCAGCCACACUGGGACUGAGACACGGCCCAGACUCCUACGGGAGGCAGCAGUGGGGAAUUUUGGACAAUGGGCGCAAGCCUGAUCCAGCCAUGCCGCGUGCAGGAUGAAGGCCUUCGGGUUGUAAACUGCUUUUGUACGGAACGAAAAGGUUUCUUUUAAUACAGGGAACUGAUGACGGUACCGUAAGAAUAAGCACCGGCUAACUACGUGCCAGCCGCCGCGGUAAUAC
rnacentral:rRNA from 1 species